UUUUAGAUUUGCGGCAUGCAAACUCGAUUUUGAAAAUUGUAUAGCGCCUUCGCACGUGCAAUCCUUUUUUCUCUCGAAUAGAUCGAAUUCACCUUUUAAAACUUUUAAUACUUCAACAUUCGAAUCCUUGGUUCUUGUUUACCAUGUCUACUAAACCAAAUUCACCAAUACGGGACGUCUAGAAACUAUAGUGCACAACAGCAAUUAAAUCCGUCUAGUACAAUGAAUUCUGAUUGUAAUAAAAGCUGUCGGAUAUAACCCGUAUGCCUUUAAAAGUGCAGCCAAGAGAUUCACA